rnacentral:misc_RNA from 1 species
GAUUAAGAACGCAGCGAAAUGCGAUACUUGGUGUGAAUUGCAGAAUCCCGUGAACCAUCGAGUCUUUGAACGCAAGUUGCGCCCGAAGCCAUUAGGCCGAGGGCACGCCUGCCUGGGCGUCACACGUCGUUGCCCCCCCAUCUACUCCUUCGGGAUUGCGGGGGGCGGAUGAUGGCCUCCCGUGCGCCUCGCCGCGCGGUUGGCAUAAAUGCCAAGUCCUCGGCGACGCACGCCACGACAAUCGGUGGUUGCGAAACCUCGGUUGCCCGUCGUGUGCGGUCGUCGCGCAUCGAGGGCUCGAAAAAAUUGCCGGGUUCCGGCUCGGCUUUCAACGCGACCCCAGGUCAGGCGGGGUUACCCGCUGAAUUUAAGCAUAUCAAUAAGCGGAGGA